rnacentral:lncRNA from 1 species
GAUCUGUAUAUUAUCCAUAAUAAGUGGCCUCAUUUAGAAAUAAAGGUUUUUAUAAGGCUUCUGUAAAUUUUACAUCAUGGAAAUUUAGUACAAGUGAAACUUUUUUUUUUUCCAAAGGCUUUAUACUGUUGGUGUAAUCUUAUAAAUAGGUCAUAGUUAAGCCUUUGAAAAUGAAGUAUGUGGUGUUGACACUAUCCUGGUGUUAUAUAAACUGACUUUCAAGUUAACCAAUUGGAUUGUAAUCAUCAUCUAUCCCCUUUAUAAAUGAACUACACUGUUGUUUUUCUGACUUCGAUGUGCUUUGAAGUACAGUGUAGCAUAUCAUUCUACCUUGAAUCCUAUGAUAAUACAGUUGACAUCUUGCUGUAGUGGACUUGUGCAUAUAGCACACAUGAUAUAGUAUAUUGUAUUACAGUAAACUUUAGACAAUGCUACUUAAUCAUUUUACUUCAUGAAGAUAAACUAACAUUUUAAAUAUGAAUAAUAUUAAUGGUCUACAAAAAAUUUGAGCACAUUUUAAAAUCAUAUUUAUAAAAAACUGGCCAAAUUGGUCUUAUUUAAUGUAUAAUUCAGAACCACUGUGUAGUAUGUAUUCUUUUCUCUAAAUGAUGAAAUGCUAAAGAAUCAUUUCACGUUGUUGAAGAAAAUACCGUUGCUACAACAACAGCAGCAGCUACUACUGCUACUACUACUACUACUACUACUACUACUACUACUACUGACAGAAAGAAUUCAUGAAUGUAAACUGGAGGAUAUCACAGUUUUCUUUAGUGAAUAUAAGUGAACUACUUGUGCGUGUUAGGUGUACUAUUUGCUAUGUAUUUUAUUUUGCUUUAUUCAGAGAGAAAGUUGAUUACUGAGUGCUGAAUUAUACAAUUUAGGCUAGGAAACUCGUAACUUUGGUAUUUAAUAAAAGAAACUAUACAUAUUCUGUUUGUAAUGUAAAUAAUCUAUACCCCAUGCACAAAUAUCUGUUUCCUGGGUGUGAUAUAUUAAAGUAUGUAUUCUUAUUUUGAGGUAUCUUUUGGAAAUAAUUGAAAGAGAUUAAAUAACAAUUUAUGCCACAUGAAAAAUAAUUACUUAGAAGUAGUUAGGUAUCAUGUCUUAUGGCUUUUUAUGUUCCAUUUUGGCUUUUUUUCUCAUUUGCUUUAUUACUAUAUGUACUUGCAUGUAACAGUUUGUAAGCAUAUAUUCUGACUUAUUUUCCUUCUGUCAUUAUCUAGUGCUGUUAUGCCUUCCUAUCAGAAUCGAUAAGUCAAACUCAGAGGUGUGAUUUUGGUGUUGAAGUUUUCAGGACAGAGAUACUAUUUCCAUGGAUGCAUUUUAAGUAAUAAAAUUAGGGGAAGUGAAAUCAGAAAAUGAAAAAUGAUUACAAAAUAACUUUCAGGUUUUCUAUAAUCAAUGGCUUUAAAAAGUAGACAGUCUUAAUUAAUUUUAAAUUAGCUUGCUCAGAAAGGUCAUGCCAUACAGUCCUAUCAUAAAAGGAACACUAUAAGAAUUAAGCAAUGAACAGCAUGAUUUCUGAUCACCCAGUGAGGACUGACAGUGUAUAAAAGAUACAGGUAUGCUACUGGAUGUACCCGAUAAUUGUUUGAGAGUUUUCUAGUGAAAAACUCAAAUAUGCUAGCUUAACCACAGUAGUAGGGGGCAACCUUAUUAUAUGGGAGAGCUUCAAAACAUACUGUCAUUUUGUAGAAGGAGCCCAGGUAAGGAUGCCUAAUCCUGUCCAGUUUGGCUAGAACUCCAUAGCCAAAAAUGCAGAUUUGGAUUGAACAUUUUUUUGAUGGGACUUCUAUCAAUGCUUAACUAGUAAAAACACAUCUUUUCUAUAAGACUUUAGAAUACUGUGGUUUCUAAUGGGUUCUUGAAUAAUGAUUUUGCAUUGUGUUUUUCUAGUUAAUGGUUUUUGGUAGUAUUUAAUGAUAGCACAGUUUGGGGUUUUAUUGUUCUUGAAGGGGGAGGAUAUUGAAUUUGUUUUUCUUAGAGAAAACAUCAGGUUUGCUCAAAUAGACUAACAACCUGUUGUCCUUAAGCACAUACUACCAUGAAUAAACUCAGGAAACAAUUUUCAAGAAAAUUCGAAUGCAGUGCUGGUGAUGGGGAUUUUUGUGGGAAAAAACAAUGGUUUCAAGUCCUUUCACAAAGAUCAAACUUCAGCCUAUUUUGUUAGACUCAGCAAUGUCUAAAACAGUGUUUUUUGUAAUUUAUUGUCAUUGGUAAUUCAAUAUAAUAAAACAAUUUUGAUAGCA